rnacentral:rRNA from 1 species
GAUGAACGCUGGCGGUAUGCUUAACACAUGCAAGUCGAACGGUCUUUUAGGAGACAGUGGCGGACGGGUGAGUAACGCGUAAGAAUCUACCUUCAGGUUGGGGACAACCACUGGAAACGGUGGCUAAUACCGAAUGUGCCGAGAGGUGAAAGGCUUGCUGCCUGAAGAAGAGCUUGCGUCUGAUUAGCUAGUUGGUAGUGUAAGAGACUACCAAGGCGACGAUCAGUAGCUGGUCUGAGAGGAUGAUCAGCCACACUGGGACUGAGACACGGCCCAGACUCCUACGGGAGACAGCAGUGGGGAAUUUUCCGCAAUGGGCGAAAGCCUGACGGAGCAAUACCGCGUGAGGGAGGAAG